GUUGAAGCAACGGUUCCCGUACGAUUCACCGAAGUUAAGCAAUGUUGAGCCUGGUCAGUACAUAGAUGGGUAACCGCUUUGGAAUAGUAGGUGCUGUA